GGGCGUUAAGUUGCAGGGUAUAGACCCGAAACCCGGUGAUCUAGCCAUGGGCAGGUUGAAGGUUGGGUAACACUAACUGGAGGACCGAACCGACUAAUGUUGAAAAAUUAGCGGAUGACCUGUGGCUGGGGGUGAAAGGCCAAUCAAACCGGGAGAUAGCUGGUUCUCCCCGAAAGCUAUUUAGGUAGCGCCUCGUGAAUUCAUCUCCGGGGGUAGAGCACUGUUUCGGCUAGGGGGCCAUCCCGGCUUACCAACCCGAUGCAAACUGCGAAUACCGGAGAAUGUUAUCACGGGAGACACACGGCGGGUGCUAACGUCCGUCGUGAAGAGGGAAACAACCCAGACCGCCAGCUAAGGUCCCAAAGUCAUGGUUAAGUGGGAAACGAUGUGGGAAGGCCCAGACAGCCAGGAUGUUGGCUUAGAAGCAGCCAUCAUUUAAAGAAAGCGUAAUAGCUCACUGGUCGAGUCGGCCUGCGCGGAAGAUGUAACGGGGCUAAACCAUGCACCGAAGCUGCGGCAGCGACGCUUAUGCGUUGUUGGGUAGGGGAGCGUUCUGUAAGCCUGCGAAGGUGGCCUGUGAGGGUUGCUGGAGGUAUCAGAAGUGCGAAUGCUGACAUAAGUAACGAUAAAGCGGGUGAAAAGCCCGCUCGCCGGAAGACCAAGGGUUCCUGUCCAACGUUAAUCGGGGCAGGGUGAGUCGACCCCUAAGGCGAGGCCGAAAGGCGUAGUCGAUGGGAAACGGGUUAAUAUUCCCGUACUUGGUGUUACUGCGAAGGGGGGACGGAGAAGGCUAUGUUGGCCGGGCGACGGUUGUCCCGGUUUAAGCGUGUAGGUGUGUGUUCCAGGUAAAUCCGGUUCACUUUAACACUGAGGCGUGACGACGAGGCACUACGGUGCUGAAGCAACAAAUGCCCUGCUUCCAGGAAAAGCCUCUAAGCAUCAGGUAACAUCAAAUCGUACCCCAAACCGACACAGGUGGUCAGGUAGAGAAUACCAAGGCGCUUGAGAGAACUCGGGUGAAGGAACUAGGCAAAAUGGUGCCGUAACUUCGGGAGAAGGCACGCUGACACGUAGGUGAAGUGAUUUACUCAUGGAGCUGAAGUCAGUCGAAGAUACCAGCUGGCUGCAACUGUUUAUUAAAAACACAGCACUGUGCAAACACGAAAGUGGACGUAUACGGUGUGACGCCUGCCCGGUGCCGGAAGGUUAAUUGAUGGGGUCAGCGCAAGCGAAGCUCCUGAUCGAAGCCCCGGUAAACGGCGGCCGUAACUAUAACGGUCCUAAGGUAGCGAAAUUCCUUGUCGGGUAAGUUCCGACCUGCACGAAUGGCGUAAUGAUGGCCAGGCUGUCUCCACCCGAGACUCAGUGAAAUUGAACUCGCUGUGAAGAUGCAGUGUACCCGCGGCAAGACGGAAAGACCCCGUGAACCUUUACUAUAGCUUGACACUGAACAUUGAGCCUUGAUGUGUAGGAUAGGUGGGAGGCUUUGAAGUGUGGACGCCAGUCUGCAUGGAGCCGACCUUGAAAUACCACCCUUUAAUGUUUGAUGUUCUAACGUGGACCCGUUACCCGGGUUGCGGACAGUGUCUGGUGGGUAGUUUGACUGGGGCGGUCUCCUCCUAAAGAGUAACGGAGGAGCACGAAGGUUGGCUAAUCCUGGUCGGACAUCAGGAGGUUAGUGCAAUGGCAUAAGCCAGCUUGACUGCGAGCGUGACGGCGCGAGCAGGUGCGAAAGCAGGUCAUAGUGAUCCGGUGGUUCUGAAUGGAAGGGCCAUCGCUCAACGGAUAAAAGGUACUCCGGGGAUAACAGGCUGAUACCGCCCAAGAGUUCAUAUCGACGGCGGUGUUUGGCACCUCGAUGUCGGCUCAUCACAUCCUGGGGCUGAAGUAGGUCCCAAGGGUAUGGCUGUUCGCCAUUUAAAGUGGUACGCGAGCUGGGUUUAGAACGUCGUGAGACAGUUCGGUCCCUAUCUGCCGUGGGCGCUGGAGAACUGAGGGGGGCUGCUCCUAGUACGAGAGGACCGGAGUGGACGCAUCACUGGUGUUCGGGUUGUCAUGCCAAUGGCACUGCCCGGUAGCUAAAUGCGGAAGAGAUAAGUGCUGAAAGCAUCUAAGCACGAAACUUGCCCCGAGAUGAGUUCUCCCUGAGACUUAGAGUCUCCUGAAGGAACGUUGAAGACGACGACGUUGAUAGGCCGGGUGUGUAAGCGCAGCGAUGCGUUGAGCUAACCGGUACUAAUGAACCGUGAGGCUUAACCUU
rnacentral:rRNA from 1 species